rnacentral:rRNA from 1 species
CGUGUAGGCGGUCCGCUAAGUCUGAUGUGAAAGCCCGGGGCUCACCCCCGGAAGUGCAUUGGAAACUGGCGGACUCGAGUCCCGGAGAGGAGAGUGGAAUUCCUGGUGUAGCGGUGAAAUGCGUAGAUAUCAGGAGGAACACCGGUGGCGAAGGCGGCUCUCUGGACGGUGACUGACGCUGGGACGCGAAAGCGUGGGGAGCAAACA